rnacentral:rRNA from 1 species
UACGGAAGGCAGCAGUGGGGAAUAUUGCACAAUGGGCGCAAGCCUGAUGCAGCCAUGCCGCGUGUAUGAAAAAGGCCUUCGGGUUGUAAAGUACUUUCAGUCGUGAGGAAGGUGUUAAGGUUAAUAACCUUAGCAAUUGACGUUAGCGACAGAAGAAGCACCGGCUAACUCCGUGCCAGCAGCCGCGGUAAUACGGAGGGUGCGAGCGUUAAUCGGAAUUACUGGGCGUAAAGGGCACGCAGGCGGUUAAUUAAGUUGGAUGUGAAAUCCCCGGGCUUAACCUGGGAAUGGCAUUCAAGACUGGUUAGCUAGAGUCUUGUAGAGGGGGUAGAAUUCCAUGUGUAGCGGUGAAAAUGCGUAGAGAUGUGGAGGAAUACCGGUGGCGAAAGGCGGCCCCUGGACAAAGGACUGACGCUCAUGUGCGAAAGCGUGGGGAGCAAAAC